rnacentral:lncRNA from 1 species
UACUCAAGUCCAGACAGUUCCACGUGCUCCAUGUUGUUUUCACAGAAACAUUACAUAAUCCAUUCCUCUUGUCACAGGGACAUUCUCAUCCUCUUUGCACCAUAGAACCUCUUUAGCCACUAAAACAUUAAUAUAGUUUUAUGUAAAUACAGUCAUCCCUCAUUACAAGGGAAAUUGGUUUCAGAAUUUCCACAUAUAUCAUGCAUAUUUAAGUCCCAAAGUUGGCCCAUGGAAUGGCAUGUAGGAAAAGUCAGCCUUCUGCAUAUGUAAGUUUUAUAUCCUAUGAAUCCUGUAUUUCUGGGUGAGAAAUACCCACUUGUAAGUGGACCCGAGCAGUUCAAACCCCUGCUCUUCUUGUGUCAGCCAUACAUUUGUGUCAGGUAUAUUAAAGUGAUCCAGUAAUCACAUCCUGUAUUACAGGAGAGAAUUUGAAUUCUCAAUGUCUUUCUAUGAGGGCUGUUUUAUUUUAAUGAAUGCCAUUAGCUUCUAAACUUUAUUCUCCCCAUGUCUGACUCAGGCUUACUUGUGCUUAGUGCUGGGUAGGUGCUUCAUCAUCUGUCUCUGAAAUAUCUUCUUAUCUCUGAAGGAAAACGUCCUUGUCCUUGCUUGUUAGUUUAUCUUUUGCUGAGGGCUUUCUCAGUCUGGAGCUUGUCCAAGCAAACAUGCUUUCAACAGCACUCUUAGUGGCCAGCUGCGAUACUGUCAACAGCAUGAUUUCAACCUGCAAGUAGACUGUAAGCCCCAGACUGUGAGCUGAUUGAAAUCUCUCUUCUGAGGUACUGAAUGAGAAAUUGUCUUUUAUUAAACGAGAUAACUCUCAUUGCGUCAUGGUGCAGUCAGACAUCAUUGGCAUAGUAACAGGAGUUGAAGAUCCUGCUACACUCCAGCUCACACUCACCCUGCGAUUUGUGCAAUUCCAUUACAUUAAGGCAGCUCAAAGUGUUUCAUAUAAAACCUGUUUUUAAACCAUACCAAUCUGAGUGCAAAUUUAGGAAAGAAAAGAGUAAGGUGAAAUUAUUCAGUAAAUUUACUUUGAAAAGUGCAUUUAUACUAAUGUGCAAACUUUAAUAUGAAAAGGAUGGCAUUAAAAGGCUUG